rnacentral:sRNA from 1 species
CCUCCUAUGCCUCUCAACGAUGCACACUUAGGGGGU